rnacentral:SRP_RNA from 1 species
GCCGGGCGUGGUGGCGGGCGCCUGUAGUCCCAGCUACUCGGGAGGCUGAGGCAGGAGAAUGGCAUGAACCCGGGAGGAGGGGCUUGCAGUGAGCCGAGACUGCACCACUGCACUCCAGCCUGGGCAACAGAGUGAGACUCUGUCUCAAAAAAAAAAAAAAAAAGUGGUCCUAUAGGCCAGAGAUUACCAACUUUUUUUUUUUUUGAGACAGUGUCGCUCUUGUUGCCCAGGCUGGAGUGCAGUGGUGCGAUCUCGGCUCACGGCAACCUCCGCCUCCCAGGUUCAAGCAAUUCUCCUGCCUCAG